rnacentral:rRNA from 1 species
UAGGGAAUAUUGCUUAAUGGGCGAAAGCCUGAAGCAGCAACGCCGCGUGUGCGAUGAAGGCCUUCGGGUUGUAAAGCACUUUUCACCGGGAAGAGGAAGGACGGUACCGGUGGAAUAAGCCUCGGCUAACUACGUGCCAGCAGCCGCGGUAAAACGUAGGAGGCGAGCGUUAUCCGGAUUUACUGGGUGUAAAGCGCGUGCAGGCGGUUUGCGAAGUUGGAUGUGAAAGCUCCUGGCUCAACUGGGAGAGGUCGUUCAAAACUGGCAGACUUGAGAGCAGUAGGGGAAGGUGGAAUUCCGGGUGUAGUGGUGAAAUGCGUAGAUAUCCGGAGGAACACCAGUGGCGAAGGCGGCCUUCUGGACUGCAUCUGACGCUCAGACGCGAAAGCUAGGGUAGCAA